rnacentral:rRNA from 1 species
GUCUACGGCCACCUUGAACAAGCCCGACCCUGUCUGAUCUCAGAAGCUAAGCACGGUUGGGCUUGGUUAGUACUUGGAUGGGAGACCACCAGGAAGACCAGGUGCUGUAGGUG